CCACUCUGAAAUGUUUUGUGAUAGGAUAAUAUAUAAAGGAUAUCAGAUAAAAGUUACUGAAUGAGGAGAUCCUCCACACACACGGUGCAUCCAUGGUCUGCAGGCUGAAAUCUCUCAAAGAUGGGGAAACCAAACUGCUGUGAUGCUGCCAAGAUCACUGGGGUGAUCUGUCUUGAUUUUUCUUGCAGACUUGGCUAGCAGAGUAAGAGGACGGAAGGAGCUGGAAAUAGCACAGCAGCACAUGGCAAGGCACAGCUGGUACUCAGGCUUACUGCUACCAUCCAGGCUGAAUGGCUACCAGGAUUAAGAGCAAGCCAGGCUAAAACAAAACAUCACAGGCCUUUUCUUUUCUUCCUUAUUCUGCAAUUCCAUUCGGGUAUGCUCAUUCUAAUGCAAAGUACGCCCGAAUAUGAAUUUAGUUUGAAGUAACACAGAAGGAGGAUCAUCUUGUGAGUGAGUCUACAGUCUUGGGCUUGUGCCAGUUCAUUUUUAGCACAGAUUGUUCCCAGUUGCGUGGAGGAUACCAUCUGGGUGAAAAAGAAAAGGCAAGACUCUUAAAUUGGUGCUUUUAGUUGAAUAAAGAGGACAGUCAGGAUAGGGACAGUUGUAUAAAA